UGACUUGGACAAUCUUGAUA
rnacentral:rRNA from 1 species